rnacentral:rRNA from 1 species
GACGAACGCUGGCGGCGUGCUUAACACAUGCAAGUCGAACGGUAAGGCCCUUCGGGGUACACGAGUGGCGAACGGGUGAGUAACACGUGGGUGAUCUGCCCUGCACUUCGGGAUAAGCCUGGGAAACUGGGUCUAAUACCGGAUAGGACCACUGCCUGCAUGGGUGGUGGUGGAAAGCUUUUGCGGUGUGGGAUGGGCCCGCGGCCUAUCAGCUUGUUGGUGGGGUGAUGGCCUACCAAGGCGACGACGGGUAGCCGGCCUGAGAGGGUGACCGGCCACACUGGGACUGAGAUACGGCCCAGACUCCUACGGGAGGCAGCAGUGGGGAAUAUUGCACAAUGGGCGCAAGCCUGAUGCAGCGACGCCGCGUGAGGGAUGACGGCCUUCGGGUUGUAAUCCUCUUUCAGCACCGACGAAGCGCAAGUGACGGUAGGUGCAGAAGAAGGACCGGCCAACUACGUGCAGCCGCCGCGGUAA